AAUUAAAUCUCUUUCUUUUAUAAAUAACCCAGUCCCAGGCAGUUCUUUACAGAAGUGUGAGAACAGACUAAUACACAUAGGAAACAGCCACUUGAGCUCUGACUGAUCAGAGGUUUGGCACAGAGUCAAACACUGCAAUUCUGGAGUUGUACUUUGCUGAGCCUCCUCAAUCUGGUUUUAUCACGCAGCAAAGCAGACAUUUACACUCUAACUGUAGUUUCUGAUCAAAGCCAUAGUUUAAAUGGAUUAUAAGUAAUUUCCUCCUGAAGUCCCUCAAGAGUCCCUGAAGUCUGGGGUGAAUUUUGGACUGGUAGGGCCAAAAUGUGGUGGGCAGUCGUUCCCCACCUGAGUGCUAAUGCUCAAGGGUUAAGCUCAAGGUUUAGCUUCUCUUGAAAGUCUGUAAGAGCAGCUACAUUUGUUGAACAUUUCACAAAGCAGCUUAAAUUCAGGGAUACUUCUUUCAUGACCACCCAUAUCUAGAAGGGUAAACCGUGUUUUUAGGAGUUUCAAGAUUUAAUUCUGGGGAUAGUCAGGUGCCUAGUUUGGUUGGGACAAUAUAGCAAGCAGAUAACUUGGUUUAUUUGUUUGUAAGAAUAUAUUUACCUAAAUAUUGAACCAUCUGUUUAUGUCUACUUUUGCUUGUUUUUUCAAAUUCCUCUUUCCCACUUUGCUUUUAUUUUUAUAAAAUCUGACAGAAGGGUAUUAAGUUGAAAGGCUAUGUCUAUUUGGCUUGAUAAGUGUGUUUUUCCUUUUUGGGAGUGAACCCACCCUUAAGAGUUACAGAGUGUGCUGAACAUAUUCAUAAAGUGAAACACUCAUAUUUCUCACUAUUUUACAUUAUUCUCUGCCAAAGUCAGGUACUAACAGCAUUAAUAUCAAAGUAAAUUGCUAAAUAAUAGUUGCUCAAUAAAGGUUAUUGUCUAGAACUGAAAGUUAUCAUAAGGUGUAGGGGUAUAGAAUGAAGCUUUUCCAUAAAUUAUCACAACUGAAAGAUAGAACUCUGUCCUGGGCCCCUUCCCCCAAAUUACCGUUUUUUGAAAGUGCAUGAUCAUGGAGACGUAUCUACACACAGAAUCAUAGACCGUUAGAGAUGAAGGGCACCUUAUGGACACACACAAACCCAGUUUUAGGCUGCAAAAUGGGAGAAGGUAGUAUGGUACUUCAAAACCUGUCUGCAGUACAGAGCAGGCUUGAAGCUGGGAGCUCAACUCCCCAAAUAUCACAUUUAUCUCAAUUUGGUAAGAAGCUGAAAACCUAUCUGGGACCAUUUAAAUUCUCUUGUUAUUAAGGGCUCAUCUAAUCAGCUUUUAAAAUAAGCUGCUUCGAAUGCAUGGGAAAUGAAGGUGAGAUAGAAGCAGGCAAGCAAGGCAGUUCAGGCCAGCCUGUGAGCACCUGGGUUUGAAUUGCCAAGGAGCCAUGAGGGGACCUGGCUGCCUACCUAUUUGGUAACCCCUGCAAUUCCAACACCAAGCCAUGCUAGUGAAAAGUGAUUUGUAAAUGUGUGGGGGAGGGGACUAAUCUGGACAAGCUCUGUUCUCCUGUGAGGUGGUUCAGACACAUGUGAUAAGCUUGGCCAGGAAAGAUGGACUACCCUCUGUGCCAGGAGGUGACUUUGAGAUUUAAUCAGCAGGGUUUGUCAAAUAUUCUUUCAUCCCAAGUGCUUUCCCUGAGCAGAGUGCAGGUCAGUAAAAAUGUCUCCAUUGUAAUACACUGCCAGUGAUGCUUUCGUGACAGGCACCAUUAGCUGCUGGUACACCAUGGUCCACCUUCCAGCUCUGCUUGGUUGCAGAGAACUUGAUCUGAACCAGCUGGUAUCCUAGAAGCAACAAAUUAACCAAGUCUCCCUUAAGUGUGAAUGGUUAAUAGCCAGUGUGAUGUGACAAUGCCUCUUGUGAACUUGAAUGUCCAAAGGUGUUUUAAAUGGCAUGGAGUACUUUGCAGUCAAGUGCCCCCAAGGGAGGCAGGCUGCCGCUGAGGGUGUUCUGGACUGAUUCAAACAUGGGGCUUCAGAAAAGACUUGCCUUAAGUCUGCAGAGUAGCAUGAUGGAAACGGAGACUGCAGUGAGUCUGAGGAAGAAAAUGAGCUCCUGAACAAACUUUUCUGAACAAACUUUAGCAAUUGUAUAACAGAGAGAGAAGACUGGUGGCCGUAUUAUUGUUUUGUACAAUGAAAAAGGGCCACACCUGUUUGAAAAGUUCCCAGUUCAGUAUAUCAAGCUUGAGUGCCAUGGAAAGUUAUUAAAGGAGCAAAAUAUUCACUGUGCCUGCCAACUCUGUGAAUCCUAACAGCCUUCUCCUGUGGACCAUUUUUUAGAGGUUAUUAUUUCAACCUGAAAAUUCUUUAGACAUAUAUA